AGAAAGGUGACUGAGUGGUUGAAAGUGCUGAUCUGGAACAUCAGUUUUGGUAAAAACAAACGAGGGUUCGAAUCCCUCUCUUUCUA
rnacentral:tRNA from 1 species